GAAAGUGCCAGGAGAAUGCAGGCAUGGUACAAAGGCAGAAAACAACACUAAACGUACACAAAACUCACACAAAUAGUCCUUAGGUGUCAGAAGACUUACAGAGCUUGUAGAUUAAGACAGUCAGACAGAAGGAAAUUCUUAGUCCUUAAAAUAGCAGCUCUGACUAUCCAGGCCUUCUAUAAAACAAGAUCCACAUACCAAAGGAUGAAGAAAUCCACAUUGCUCAUCCAUUCUUGUUCCAGAGGUCUUGUAGAGAGAAGGAAAUACAGACGUAUGAACAAAGCGACCACCAACAUACAGAGGACUUAUAGAAUCUACUGCCACAACAAACUUGUCAAGGAGAAAGAAAGCCAAGAAUACCAAAACUAGUUGGCCAAGCAAGAAAAGGCCAGAGAAGGAGUAUAGAGUGCAAUCAUAAUACAGAAAUGUGUAAGAGGGAGAUAUAUGUCGCUAAAGGUUGUUGAAUCUCAAGAGCUCUAUUCGAGUGAUUGAAAAAGUAACAUUGAACUUGAUGCACAUCUGCCAUGAAAAGAAAAAAAAAAACAGGAAUUAGCCACCACAACGAUGGACGUGAAUAAGAAUGAAGAGGGGGAACAGAUAAAAAAAAUGAAGUUAUUGUGAAGCCUAAAAAAUUAGGGGUAUGUGUUAGAAAACAUGAACACUGUAAAGCGCUAAAAAUGUCAGAGGACGGAUACAGCUCAACCAUCUUUCAGGCGCCUGGAUACAUUAAUCAGUAGCCAUCUCAAGCGGCGAUGUCAUUGUUGUUGACAAAACUGACACGGGUCAGUUAUCCAUCCACACAGUAGCUGUUAAUUGGUCGUCUUGUCAUUUACUUAUUAGUCACAUAUUUUACAAUGGUUACGUUUAAAAAAAAAAAAAGGCAGUAUUUAUAAAUCAGACCCGCAACUGCGUUUCAGUAUAGUUUCAGAUAUAUACCGUGUUACAUAGUCUCCUUGGAACUUUUGCAUCACUGAUUCAGGUCGCCGGGGAAGCCCUUUCUAUUUCUCACAAUCGUACCACAACAGAAGAUCUUUUUGGCGAGCAGACCUUUAACCAGUUCGACUGAAGUAAAGAAGCUGUCGAAGAAAACGUGAUGGUUUUUGCCCUGUAAUUCCUCCACAAGUUUAAAGACUACUGUCUGGCCAACAGGAACACCCUUGUAUUGGUCCCUUCCGAGAUACAGGUCAAGCUGAUGGCAAAAUCCAGACAAACUGUCACACCGGAGCCAGACUUUUAACCCCCAUUUAGUAGGUUUGGAGGAUAUACACUGUUCGGCCUAUAAAUGAAGAUAGCAAUUAA